rnacentral:rRNA from 1 species
UACGAAGGGGGCUAGCGUUGCUCGGAAUCACUGGGCGUAAAGGGUGCGUAGGCGGGUCUUUAAGUCGGGGGUGAAAUCCUGGAGCUCAACUCCAGAACUGCCUUCGAUACUGGAGAGCUCGAGUCCGGGAGAGGUGAGUGGAACUGCGAGUGUAGAGGUGAAAUUCGUAGAUAUUCGGAAGAACACCAGUGGCGAAGGCGACUUACUGGACACAUAUUGACGCUGAGGUGCGAAAGCGUGGGGAGCAAACAGG